UACGUAGGUGGCAAGCGUUGUCCGGAUUUACUGGGCGUAAAGAGCGCGCAGGCGGUCGAUCAAGUCGCGUGUGAAAGCCCCCGGCUCAACUGGGGAGGGUCACGCGAUACUGAUCGACUCGAAGGCAGGAGAGGGUAGUGGAAUUCCCGAUGUAGUGGUGAAAUGCGUAGAUAUCGGGAGGAACACCAGUGGCGAAGGCGACUACCUGGCCUGUUUCUUGACGCUGAGGCGCGAAAGCUAGGGGAGCAAACGGG
rnacentral:rRNA from 1 species